rnacentral:rRNA from 1 species
AACGCGAAGAACCUUACCUGGGCUCGAAGUGUAGUGGACCGGGGUGGAAACAUCCCUUCCCGCAAGGGCCGCUAUAUAGGUGCUGCAUGGCUGUCGUCAGCUCGUGUCGUGAGAUGUUGGGUUAAGUCCCGCAACGAGCGCAACCCUUAUUGUCAGUUGCCAGCGGGUUAUGCCGGGCACUCUGGCGAAACCGCCUCGGAUAACGGGGAGGAAGGUGGGGAUGACGUCAAGUCCUCAUGGCCUUUAUGUCCAGGGCUACACACGUGCUACAAUGGCCGGUACAAACCGUCGCAAACUCGCGAGGGUGAGCUAAUCGGAGAAAGCCGGCCUCAGUUCGGAUUGGAGUCUGCAACUCGACUCCAUGAAGCUGGAAUCGCUAGUAAUCGCGGAUCAGAACGCUGCGGUGAAUACGUUCCCGGGCCUUGUACACACCGGCUAC